UAGGGAAUCUUCCACAAUGGACGCAAGUCUGAUGGAGCAACGCCGCGUGAGUGAAGAAGGUUUUCGGACCGUAAAGCUCUGUUGUUGGUGAAGAAGGAUAGAGGUAGUAACUGGCCUUUAUUUGACGGUAAUCAACCAGAAAGUCACGGCUAACUACGUGCCAGCAGCCGCGGUAAUACGUAGGUGGCAAGCGUUGUCCGGAUUUAUUGGGCGUAAAGCGAGCGCAGGCGGAAGAAUAAGUCUGAUGUGAAAGCCCUCGGCUUAACCGAGGAAUUGCAUCGGAAACUGUUUUCUUGAGUGCAGAAGAGGAGAGUAGAACUCCAUGUGUAGCGGUGGAAUGCGUAGAUAUAUGGAAGAAUACCAGUGGCGAAGGCGGCUCUCUGGUCUGCAACUGACGCUGAGGCUCGAAAGCAUGGGUAACGAACAGGAUUAGAUACCCUGGU
rnacentral:rRNA from 1 species